CAGUAGCCGCGGUAAUACGGAGGGGGCUAGCGUUGUUCGGAAUUACUGGGCGUAAAGCGCACGUAGGCGGCUUGGUAAGUUAGAGGUGAAAGCCCGGAGCUCAACUCCGGAAUUGCCUUUGAUACUGGGUAUCUUGAGUAUGGAAGAGGUGAGUGGAAAUCCGAGUGUAGAGGUGAAAUUCGUAGAUAUUCAGAGGAACACCAGUGGCGAAGGCGGCUCACUGGUCCAUUACUGACGCUGAGGUGCGAAAGCGUGGGGAGCAAACAGGAUUAGAGACCCCAGUAGUCCCUGUCUCUUAUAC
rnacentral:rRNA from 1 species